UCUUGGUAGCUCAGUGGGUAAAGAAUCUGCCUGCAAUGCAGGAAACCCAGGUACAAUUCCUGGGUCAGGAA
rnacentral:tRNA from 1 species